CUUUGCCAACAUCCUCCUCUCACCCACCUCCUCUAUGGAGUCCAGGGAACAGUCCAGGACAGAACCGGCCCUCCUGACCAGUCUGUUUAAAUGUGGAGGAAUUUAGUCUCACAAUCACAGACAACAAAUAUUAUCUGAAAGUCGGGUUAUUGUUGUUUAUCAGCACAAUACAAAAAGAUUAAUGUUAGAAAUAUUCCAGUUAAGACUCUAGAAUAUCAUGAUUUAUGUAAAUUUACCUCAAUAAUAUGAAUGUUCAGGUUAAGAUUGUACAGUGAUAUUUAUUAUGUAAGUUUAGCUGAUUAAAGUUUAUGACUCUGCACUAAAAUAUUAUUUAAAUUGACAUCAUUAUUAUAAUAUUUAGGGUCAGACCCUACAGUAUUGAGAUUAAGAAAUCAAAUAUUCUAUAAAAUGUAAAUACAUUGAAUUCAUUUGGAUAUAUUUAAGUGAGACUCUACAAUAUUGUUUAUGACACAAAUCUAUCUGAAUCAAAAUUUUAAUAAUUUUCACACCAAACAUUUACUGGACUGAUUUAAAUAUUAAAAUCACUUCUUUCUAAUCCUCUGCUAUACGUUCAAACCUGAGGCCUUAAAUAGAAACACACAAGUAUCUGAUUGAAGGAACUUCUGUAGAGUCCUGGUUCCAGAACAUGAUGAUAGAAUUAUAGACAAACUUUAACAAAAGCUGCCUGAGAGUUUACAGGUUUUUAUGUUGGAUUUCUUCAGUAAUUUAAUGAGAGUUAUCAGCAAUAAUCAAGUGUUCAUUUGAUGAACUUGAUUUCCUAAAACAUCCAGAAUUGGAGCUCAUAUCUUUGGCAGCUGUAAAGUUUCUGCUCCUUCAAAGUUCACAACACAAUGAAUGAAUUCCUAAAACACUCUCAAUGCUGGAGAGCGUUUGUGAUGCUGAAGCAGUGAUCAGUUUUUCUGUUUCUUCUCUGGAGAUGCACAAUGAGGGACGUCUGCAGAGACUGAGAAAGAGUCUCACCACAUCCUGACAUGAGGAAAAAGACUUUAUUGAAGACUACAAUGAGAAAAACUAUCAGACAGCAGACGGCUGCAUUCAAGGCUACAGGAGGAGCCCUACGAGGAUGAGCCGGUCCACCUGAUGGCGGCCAGUCGCUGCGGUUCAAAGCCAACACCGACUACGUGGACUUCUACUGGACCACAUGGAGGCCUUCAAACCGGACCAACAAGUUCACCGACUCCCCGACUCGUGGGUCUGAGGACGCCGCCGAGCCUCGGUCCAGCCGGCCUCCUGUCUGUGGGUGUUUGAGUGCUGAGAGGUUUGUGGAUGCAUGUGAACAUGUCUGUGUUGAAACAGCAGCUUUUGACUCACUAACGCUGGUAAAAACCAAGAGCUCCUUUAUUUGUGACUUCCACUAAAAAACUGAUGAAAAUAAGUUUGCCAGGGUUCUGACUGAUAACGGAUUAUUAAAUAAUGAAAAUAAUCAUUUAAAUAUUCCUUUAAACAAUCCUUUUAGGUCUACAUUGGAGGAUUUUAGGUGGAAUUUUCUUCCAAACCAUCUUUUAGUCUACAUUUAAGGAUGUUUAGGAUGGUAUAUUCUUCCGAACCAACUUCUCAGGUCUACAUUUCAGGUGGAAUA
ensembl:lncRNA